rnacentral:siRNA from 1 species
AUGUGUUGCAAGCGGAUAUACUUG